CCUCCUCCAAUGGAUAAAAGCGUGGUGACUGAUGGGUUUUUUUGUUUGACUGUGUUUGUGAAAGUAGAGAAGUAUUGGUCAUCGGAAGAAGAAACGGAGAGCUGAUAGGAUGAGGCAUUGAUGUUAGCAAAAGCGCAAAUAAGGUGAGUGAAAAGAGCUGAAUUUAUAUCGGCAAUGGGGAAGUCAGUGCCGGAAUACCAGUAACCAGCUUGAAUCCAGGUUUGUGCUCGUGAUGGAUUGAGUCCUAAAGAGAGAAAAAUAUAGAGAAGUAUGAUAAACUUGGGUACCAUAACCAUGGAGGAAACUUUCAGGGUGAUGAUUUCUUCGAGAGUUGAUAAUUAAAUGUAGAAUUUGGUUGGAAAUGAAUACAUAAAAGAAAACAGACAAAUGUAAUGCUGUACCCGCUCAUGCCAAGACAUAAAAUUCCUCAGAUUUUUAAUUUUACCUCAGAUUUUUUAACACCAUAAAUUCAUAACAGUCUUACGCUCUUCUUCCUCGUAAUUUCAUCACGUUUAAUACUUUCCUGAGGUCUACAAAAAAGUGUGCUUCCAGCAAUAUUAAACUAUUGGCAGGAAGGAAUAUUUUUAGUAUUAAACGUGAUGAAAUUACGAGGAAGAAGAGCGUAAGACAGGAUUUUUAUGAAUUUAUGGUGUCUGUGGAUUUCAGCUGAGUUGAAUUAAGUAAUGAGUAGUUCAAAUAUACAAAAGACGUUUCGUAUGAGAAUAUAUCUAGUAUUACCAAUGGAUCAAGUCCAUCUUGGACAGCACGGGAUGAAAGCCACUUGGAGAGGAUAAGUAAUUUAAUUACGAAAACUGAGGGAUUUUCUUUUAUCAAUAUAAUAUAAAAACAAUUUAAUUAUAAAAAUUUACGAAAAUAUGAUAUUUUAUAAUUAUUUUAUUCAACCAAAAUGGUAUUCUAUGAUUAAAUAUAUAAAAUAAAAUAAAAGCUAGUUUUGAUUAAACUAAUGAAAGAGAAGAGAGAUGUUUUGUGACGAAUAUUGCUUUUGUAUUGGAAACUUUUUUGAAGAACAUGAAUAAGGCUAAAAAUUGGUUUUUUUUUCAUUUAAUUAAGGUUAAUAAAAUAUAAUAUUUUUAACGAAAAAAUUAAUCAAUGAUUUAAAAAAUUUAAAAUAAUAUCGCUUGACACAUUAACAACAUUGAAAAAUAUUAUAAAAAUCAUUUUAUUUUCAUAAAUAACCUACCAUUUAUAUCAUUUUCUUAAGCAAUAUUUUUAUAUUAUUUUGACAAAAAAAACCCAUACAUUAUUAAAGAUUUAUCUCUUUUUCAUGUUCCACAAAAGGUGGGCUCAUUUUAAUUGUAAUUACCAAAGUCUUUGUUGUCUUUUUCUUUUAACGUGAAGUGAUGGUUUGAUUUUUCUUUCUUUUGCGUACAUUUGAUAACAGUUUAAUAAAUUUAUUAAAAUUAAUUGUUCACAUGAGAUAAUUACAUUUACAAGAAACAACUAUAACAACAGCAACAAACACAAUGAAUAGAGGGGAUAACAAAGUUGUUUAACAUGAACUCACUAUCUUUGAAACAAAUACAUCGGAUAAUCUUAGUUCUAACACACUCCAAAUAAUAAUCCUCACUCUUAUACUUUAAAGACUAGAUCCCUUUACAGUAUCCCCUGAGAACUUAGCUAGUAAAACCAAUUAUAGAAAGAUUUUACAAUCACGGUCCCUUUUAAACAACAACUAAAAUAGCUAAAUACAAUAAAAUAUUAAUGACCAAAGUAAAAUGGACUAUUGGCAAAUAAAUCUUCUAAUUUUGUCCCAGAUAUGUAUUUUCAAAUUAAUUGAUCUUCAUUGAUGGGUUUGAAUCAUUCCAUGACAUCAGCACAAUCCAAAGAUUUAGUUCAAUAUAUAAAUCGUCAAUCUUAUAUAUAAGACAAGUUAUUGUUUUGUCGCAAUGGUAGAGGAAGUGGCCAUUUUCCUUAGCAGAUUGUAGCAGCUUCAAAUAUUUCAACACUAGUAAAAAGUAAGGGCUCAUGUACAGGGCGAAGGUAGAAAUUUUUUUGGGAGGGACGAGAUUAAAUUAUAUGCUUUUAUAAGAGUUAAAGUGCUACUUCACCCUUAUAUUGACUUAUAUCUUUAUGAUUUUCAAAUGACAAAAUCAAUAUCCUAACAAUUUGAGAGGGGCAAUUUAUAAUUGAUCACAUAUUAACUUAAAAUUUGAUAAAUCUUUUGGAGUCCUAAACAAACAAUUUCCUACUCUAUGAGGGGCAAACAAUAAGCCGAAUAUCAUGUCCUACUCAAUUUCCUAAAGACAGAUUGCAUUUCAAUUUUCAAAACAAUUAAUGGCAUUCGGUUGUGUAGGACAACUACUACUGAUUUAUAAUCUUCUAGACUUGGGUUUUCAAUUUUAAAUUUAGGGUGGGUUUGGAUGAAAGGUGCGUUUAUCUACGAUUAGUGUAAAAACAAUAGUAACGAUACUAUAGCAUGAGACAAAAAAUAAGUUAAAUGCACUAAACUACAUCGCACCACCCAUCUAAAUUUACCCUUAUUUAAUUUUUAAGAAGAUCCAAUUAAUCUUGAAUUUAAUUAAAGUUGAAAUAAUAAUAACAUCAGAACUUAGAUAGCAGAAAUUUAAAGAUUUUGGCUUUAGAUUUUAUUUCUUACAUAACGAAAUACAAAGAAAAUGCAUUAAUUAGUCAAGAUUUAGUAAUGUGUAAGGCAUAAAAUUAUUAAUUUCAAAUCUCUAAUUAUACUUUAAUUUCUUAUUUUGAGUUGUGGGCGACAUUGAAAUAGUAAGUAUAGAUAUAUAAUUGAUGGAAGUAAUAAAGUGCGAAUAGUUAAAAUUAAAAUGUAUAAAAAUAUCAACAUAAAACUUUAGUUAGUGGCCUGGUUAAGGGCCAACUCAGUAAAACAUAUAGAUACAUAUCCGUCCAUGUUUGGGGUUCAUAAUUGUCUUUCCCAAUAAUAUUGUCUUCAAGAUUAGAAAUGCAUUGCUUUACCAUUACACCAAAUAUUUUUUGAUAAUAUAUCUAUAUUUCUAUCUAUUUAUCCACUAUAUAUAUAUAUAUAUAUCUUUUAAUUGUCAUUACCAAAUUCUUUUUUUUACUUAAAUAUUAAAAGGUACUCAUAAGUUUAAUUAAUACCAAGGAGUUUGGAAUCGAUUGAUCAGAGGUAACUCCUUAAAAGCAUAGAAAUAGUAGGAGAAUGGAACGAAUACAGUCUUUUGAAAUUCUUUUGAUCCCUCUUUAAUCCUUAUUGAUAACCCUUAUUUCGACCAUACUAACAUCCUUAUAGCUCUUCGACCUUUAGGUGAACUAUCAUGAAUCAUCACAAUCUCCUCCUUAUAUUAGCACAUUCCUAUCUCUAAAUCUUCAAGUAAGAAUUAAGAUCACAAUCUAUCUCUUUUUUUCCUUUCAAAAAUCCUUUCUUAGAUCACUCAAUCUUUGGGUCAAAAAACUAGUUUAAUAAAUUGAAAUUUUGGAAAAAAAUAAUGAACGACUCUUUUUUUUAAAAAAAAUUCGUUUCACAAUUCUUUUGGUUCUUUUCAAUUCGUCAAUAUUUUCAUUUAAUAUAUAAAAUUGAAUUACUAAAUCUAUCAAUUUUCAAUUGAAUCAAUCAGUACAUUACACAAGUUAAUGAUUUUAAAAACUAUGUAUUAUAAACAUUUUCCAACAAGUUAUUAUCUUAGUGGCAAGACUUAGUGAGUUUCUGUAAUGGCCUGAAUUUUCAGUGAUGUCGGAAUGGUGAUUUUAAGAUCACUAAAUCUGGCAAAUGAGUAGAAAAUAUUAUUAAUUUAGUGAGUAUAAGUUUAAUGUGAAGUUAGAAAAAUUUUUGAAAUAGUGAAUAGUGUACUAGGAAUAAAUAUUAAAAUAAUUAGAAUCGGAAAUGAGGUAUCGAGACCUCAAACUCAUAAACCGAGCUAUAAAUAUUUUUAGAAAUAUUUAUAGAGUGUCAUUGAGUUGGUAUUAAAGUUUUGUUAGAAAAUUUUAACGUUUGGAUAGUCAAUUAACUAAAAAUGACUAAAUUGAAAAUAGUGUAAAAUUUGUUAAAUUGUGAUUAAAUAGCUUAAGUGACUAAUGAGGAGGGAUUUAAAAGGCAAUUAGUCCCAAAAUUAUAUGGGCUGAACGGUUGGGCAAUAAAAAUCAGCAAGAUGGUAAGGAGAAACAAGGGCAAAAUUGGAAACUUUACAAAUUAAAUAUAUAAAACAAAGACAAAAGUGAAAAAUCUAGAGAUUUCUUCACAAUUUAUCAUCAAAAACGCCAUAGGAGGUCUGAAACAAGCUUUUUUUUCAUAUAUUUGACUCAUGUAAGUUUAAUUCUUGAUUAUUUAUUCUAAUUUUUGUGAUUUUGAUACUUUUACAAUUAGGUCCAACUAAUUAUCUCAUUAGUUUUUUAUUUCAUGGCUGAUUUUGAGAGUUACCAUUGAUUAGUGCUGAGUUUUUAUGAUGAAUGAACAUGGAAUUAAAGCUUUAAUUUUAUUAUAUGAUGAUUUUAUUAACUAAUUUUGAUAAACAUUGAUUUUAGGGACCUAAUUAUGAAAAAGUUUGGAAUUAGGGUUUGGUGUUGAUAUUUUGACUAUAAAAGGCUAUAUAGUGGUAUAAAAUGGUUGGAAAAAGUGCUAAUUGAGAAAAAUUAGAUCAAUUGAGGGGUUAAAUGAGUAGGGACCAAAUUGUAAAAAUUGUAAAGUUUGGGGUAAAAUUGUAAUUUCGAAAAUUAAAGGGGUAUAAAUUGUGAAAUGAAUUAGAAUUGAAUUAGAUGCUGAUGAAUUAAUAAAUUUGUAUUUUAGAUCAAGAACCCAAAGGUAAACGAGGAAAGGAGAAAAUUACCGAUUAGCCACUAAACUUCCGCAACUUUUCCAAGGUAGUCAGGUAAGUUCAUAUGGCUGAAAUUUAAUGAUUAAAUGUUAAUUUCAUGAAUUAUAUAGUGUAUGAUGAUAUAUAUUUGUUGAUGGAUUGGAAAUAAAAUAAUAAUGCGAAAAGCGAAUAAAUAAUCAAAUUGAGCGGAAUGUCGGAUUUGAGUACUUCUGAUCAGUGAUAAGUGAUAAGUGGUGGCUUUAGCUACACUUAUCUAAUCAGUGACAAGUGAUAAGUGAUAAGUGGUAGCUUAGCUACACUUAUCUGAUCAGAGAUAAGAGAUAAAUGAUAAGUGAUUCCGUGUAAGACCAUAGCUGGGUUAUGGCAUCGGUAUGUAUUAUGUGAUUAUGUGAAAGACCAUAGUUGGACUAUGGCAUCGAGGAAAUGAAGUACUCAAUUCCAUAAGACGUUCACUAAUUUUGAUAAAGUCGGUAAGUGUUACAUAGACUCAUAUUCAAGUGGUAGAUUUAUCGUAGUUGUUGAAAUUAAGCUCAAUUAAAUGAUUUCAUCAAUUGGAAAUUGUGUAUGGCAGGAAGUGUAGUGAAUAAUAAGAUGUGAAUUAUUAUGAUUAGUUCGGUAAGAUUUAUCUUAAAUGCCUAUGAACUUACUAAGCUUUCUAUAAGCUUACUUGUGUGUGUUUAUUGUUUCUUGUAGAUUGACAUAUAAAUACGUUCGGAGGAUCGGAUCUACAUCAAGAAUCACACUAUCCAGAUUUACUCCGGUAGAUUUUGUUAAAUAACUUUUUGAUUUAUAUGGCAUGUAUAGGGAUUUGAAGGAAAAAGUAAUAGAAUGAAUGACUAAUUAUGCAAAGUAAAUCUAAAUGUGAUGGUUGUGUUAGACAUUGAAAUAUACAUGUUUUUAGCUUGAAAUGGUUGAUUGGUUGAACUUUAUUAGUAUUUAAAUGAAGUAGUUGAGAUACUGAAAUUGGUUGUGAUUUGAAAAUUGUAGGGAAGGUUAGAUAAUUAUAAAGGGGUUAUAUUGAUUUUUUUUAAAAUAAUAAUAAAAUUGCAAUGGAACAGUUUUUGGACAGCAACAUUGUUGUAACUUUGAAAAAUCACCAAAAAUUGUGGGAAUUGAAUUAGAAGCUGAGUGAGAUAUGAAAUUAAAGCUGAAUGAGUCUACUUUCAAAUGAAAGAAUAGAGUAAGCAAAAGAGUUAUAUAUUUUUAGAUAUUUGAAUUUUAGUGAGACAGGAUAAGAAUGGUUUUUGAAGUCCCCUGUUCUGACUUUAGAAAUUCAUUAAAAAUUGUACAGAAGGAAUUAUGAGUUAUAAUUUAUAUGUAUAGAAUCCUUAAUGAGUCUAUUUUAAGUAGAGAAAUAAGUGGAAGCACCAUAUGAAGUCUGUACAAUGAGAUAAUUGAAUUUUAGUGACAAGAGGUCAGGAUAGUCAAUCAGUGAAACAUGGGAGACUUUAAAGAAUAAAAUGUACAAAUUGGCUAAACAAAAAAUUCUGAAAAUUUUAUGCUAAGAAGAUAUAUGAGUCUAGUUUCAAGGAAAAUUUACGGAUUUAAAUUUUGAGUUUCGUAACUUGAGUUAUAAUUAAUUUAGUAACUGCUGCGAAGGUGGAUAACUUUAUUAUGAAUGGUGAAAUUAAUUUUAAAAGUAAAUUUUUAUGCCCCGAACUUUUAAAUUAAGUCAAGUAACGCCUCAUGCUCGACUCCGAAAAUGGUCUCGGGUAAGGGGUGUAACAUUUUAUUUGUAUCAGAGCCCAAUUUAGCCGGUUCUCGGAAUAUGUGUGAAGUGUAAAGUGUUUAGAAAUACAUGCCAUAUAAAUCAUAUGUAAAAUCAUAUGUAACACAUAAAAAGCAUUUAUUCAAAAAAAUAUAAUUUUACGUUAAUUACUACAAAUAAAAAGAUAAUAUUUAAAUAAUAUUAAAUAUUAAAUACGUAAAAUUAUAUGUAACACAUGCGACAUUAGAUAUUUUAUGAAAAUUUUUAAAAAAGAAAUUGCAUAAUCUAAUUAAUUUUUUUUUAAAGUUUCAAAGGUUUAAUAAUAAUUUUUAAAACCUUUUGGGAUCUAUUUAAAAUUUUCAAAAAAAUUUAAAAGUAUAACUAAAAUUUUUAAAAAUUUUGAGGAGCCAAGACCCUCCGAAGCCAUAAUGAGGACCCACCUCUGCAUAUAGCUAUUUUUUAAAGAGAAUAAAAAGAAAUUAACAAUGCACCAAAUGCUAUUUCUUUAAAAUUUAAAAAUAGACAAUAUUUUUCAACAAGUCAAUUUUAUAAGUGUUGAAUUUAUAUUAGAAAAUUGCUUGGUAAAUUAGUAAAUACGAGUAUUGAAUUCAUAAAAGUAAAUAUUAAUUUUUAAAAGAUUGUUUAAUUUUAAUUUUAAUCUUAUUAUGGUAAUUUAAAUAUCUCAUUUUUUAAAUGAUAAUUAAUGUGAUAAAUAGCUAUCUACCUAAUUAUCUCAUUCAAUACCUUUUUGUUGAAAUUUUUUAUAUUAAAUAAAAUAUUAAAUAUAUUUAAUAUUAUAAAUUUAAAAUAUUAAAUGUUGAAAAUUUCCAUUAAAUUUAAUGGUUUAUUAGUAAAGCUUAUAACUAUUUCCAGAUAUAACAAUAAGAAGGAAACUAUCAUAAAACAAAUGAAGUGAGAUAAUUCGUGGACUCUAUUAAUUUUCGUUUGAUUGCAUUAGUUUAGUAUUGCUAUUAGAAAAAGUUUGGUAAUUACAUGAGUUAAAGAGGAUCACCAGGGUGUAGUUAGGCCGACCUCUUAAAAUGAAAAUUUUUCUAUUUAGGCCUUUUAAAAUUUUAAAUUAGUAAAAAUAAAAUUACACUUUGGUUCCUUAAAAAUUAUAAAAUUUUGAUUUAAUCCUUUAAAAGUUAUAAAAAUAUAAACUAUUAAAAUAGUAAAAUUGCAUCUUUGCUAUCAUAAAAAUUAAAAUUUAAUUUUGGACCCCUUAAAUAAUUUUUGACUUUGCCCUUGGAUCGAAUUGACUUAAGAGAACGAAUCAAGUCAAAAUAAGAUUCAAUGAAUAAAGUGACAGCCAAUGGUCAAGCACUGACUAACGAUUGUCCUAAGUUGACCGGAUGCGUUAGGGAAGGUGUUUGCGCGUAGGCGAUGUCGAGAGUAAUUUGCUGGAUUAGUUAUUCAAUUUUAUACAUUAAAAUAUAAUUUUUAAAUAUGCUUAUAAAAGCAAAAAUAACAUUAAAAUUAUUCAACAAGUCUCAUUUGAAUAGCCAACGAGUAAAUGGAAUCAAACCUAUCAAGAUUAUAUGAAGUAAUGUCUUUUCAAAAAUAAAGGUUUGUAGAGAUUGGUUGGUAAUUGAUCACGAAUUUAUGAGUUAUUUAUAAUUUGCACACGAAAUUAAAAACCCUAAUACUAAGCGGCUUAAUAGUGAUCUCUAAAUUCUAACUUUACUAAUAUUAAAAUUUAUUUAAAAGCAAUUUAAAAACAAAUUCGAGUAAGGUAAGUAAAAUCCAUAAAACAUUUCUAAAAUGGUAUAAAAACAACCAAUCCAAUGAUUUUCGCAAUUCGUAUAAUUCCACAAAACAUUUUUCAUAGCAAAUUGCAAUUUGGCAACUUUCAUAACACAAAAUUUUCAACGAAAGCCGACAAUCAAAACUCUAUUUUUUUUUUGUUAGUGUGGAAGUUUGGUGAGGAAAACCUCAAACUUACAAAUGAAAUACGAACAACAACUCGAAUAGAAAAACAAAGCAAUAAGACAAGGCUUCAAGGCAUGUAUAAAACUACUAUUUUUAAGGUUUUAUCCCCCCACCUAUACUUAGUGUGCAAACGAGUUUCAACCAAAUGAACUUUGAUCAGGAUACAAUAAGCCCGAUGAUUAUUUCCCUUUUACACUGACGAAAAUAAUUCACUAAGCACUGCGGAAAGUAUAGAACAAUAUUGAGGACAAAUAGAAAAAAACUUUUAAAUUUUUUUUGAUAUAUUUUCCAAAUGAAAUCCCAUUGCUAUUUAUAAGAAUUCUAAUAUAUAAAGACAUUACUUUCUAUAGGUGGUUUUUUUAUUUUUGAAUAAAUACAUAUUUAAAAUAGACAUAAUUAUUCAACUAAUAUUUCAUAAAUUAUAGACAUAACUAUUAAAGUAAGAGAUAAACUUAUUCAAGUAACAUCUCUUAAAUAUAUAGUUAUAAUUCUUUGUAAAAAAAAACUGAUAUAAAUUAUUCGUAUUUAAGGGAUUUAAAUUAUCAUGAAUAGUUUAAUAACCAAAAGAGAUAAAGUUGAAAUAGUAUUUGAUGAUAACAAAUUUUCUUAGCCACCAAAGUCAUCGACCAACCACUUCUGAUAUGGGCGAGUCAUCGAUUGAACAUAUUUCAGGUUUCAAAUUCGAUCUCUUUAGUUCAUCAUUUUCAUUGGUUCUUUCUGAGAAAGCAGGUCUUUUCGGGUUGGCCAUCGGUGUGGUUUCAUUUCUAAGCAUCGACGACACUUCCAGCAUGGUAGGCCUGUCAUUGGCAUUUUCCUGCACACAUAACAAAGCUAUUUGCAUGCAUUUCAAUAACGUGCAUGAUGAAUUUGUGUCAUCCAGUGUGGGAUCCAUGAAUUCCAUGCCUUUCUCUUGUGUCCAUAAUCCAUAUGCCUGAGUUUUAUUCAAACAUUAUAUUCAAUUAUCUUCACAACUUAAUGAUUGAAAAAGGGUAUAGAGAUCAUGUUGAGACUUACGAAUUCAAGAAGACUUAAAUUUUCAUGUAAUCCAUAUAAACAUGCGGUCUUUCGUCCACUUAUGAUCUGAAGAAGUAGGACCCCGAAACUAUAUACAUCUGAUUUGAUGGAAUAUAAACCCUUUUUAACAUAUUCAGGAGGAAUAUAACCACUGCAAAAGCAAAACAAAGUGUCAAUGUCCACACUCAAUUUUCGUAUUCUCAGAAUUAACUUACUAUGUGCCGACAAUGCGGUGUGUGUUGGCUUCAACUUCAUCUUUAGAGAAAAUUCUAGCCAUUCCGAAAUCUGAUAUCUUGGGCUUCAUUUCUUCAUCUAGUAAAAUGUUGCUAGCUUUUAAAUCUCUAUGAAUAAUUUUCAAUCUCGAGUAUUCUUGAAGAUAUAGAAGCCCUUGAGUAACUCCUUCAAUAAUUUCAGCACGUUUUUCCCAAUCCAACAUGUACCGUUUUAUUGGAUCUGUAGACAAUGAAACAUUCAUCAUAAAUGAAAACUAAGAUAAGAUUUAACCAGUUAUUGUUCAACCAGUAAUUCAAUUGCUUAUAGAUUAACUAUAAAUUACCAUAAAGGUAGUAAUCCAAACUCUUAUUUGGCAUAAACUCAUAGACCAGCAUAUGUUCUUCUCUCUCAAUGCAGAAUCCCAAAACUCUAACAAGGUUUACAUGCUGCAGUUUUGCUGUUAGCAUGACCUCAUUCUUAAACUCUUCAAAUCCUUGUGUAGAUGUUUUCGAAAGUUUCUUUACUGCUAUUUCCCGUCCAUCUGAUAAGACACCCUGGCAAAUGGGAAUUUAAUUAUUUACAGUUCCUUGGAAAAGUGCAAUGUAAUUUCCAAAAUUUUACAUCAAAUAGCUAGAAUAGCUUAGCUUUACCUUGUAAACAGGACCAUAUCCACCUUCCCCAAGCUUAUUUUCAAAUGAAAACCUAUUAGUGGCCACCUCAAUAUCAGAGAAUCUAUAAACCAUCAGAUUAGGAGCAUUGCUGUUGAAAUCUCCAGCUUCUGUCAUAAGAUUUGCUUUGGACUUGGAAUUUUUAGCUUUGUACUCGGCAUCUGUUAACCAACCAAAAAACAUUCAUGAAUAAACUGCUUUGUACUCGGAACUCUAUUUACAUAAAUCAACAGGAUCGAAGUUUAGAGAUUUACUGCUAAAUAAUGUAGAGGGAAUAGUGAAUGAUGCAGUUAAGUGAGAUAGCUCGAAAUAAAUACCUUUCUUCUUAUUCUUUGUCCUUCGAAUGUAGUACGUCAAUGCCCCGAUCAAAAUCAAGACCCCAGUGACUGGAACCAAUAUAAUAAUCAACGACAACCGCCCUUUUUUCUCUGUACCAUUCUCACCAUUGACAUCAACUGAUACAGAUUUAAAAAUAAAUAAAUAAUGAAAGCUUGCCAGAAAGAUUCUUUUUUCAUUAAUUUCAUGAUGUUUAUUUCUAUGGCCUCUUUAGAUUAUAGUUUUUCUUAGUUAACUAAUUCCUUUUUUUUUUUUGGUCCUUCUCAAGCCGGCUUGGUGAGCUUCUUCUUCAUUGUAUUUUGAUAAAAGUAUCACGAAAACUCUUGUAAGCAUACCUGCAGUUUGCGAAAGCAACCAAUUGUCGUCAUUGGGAACUUGCCACACAAAGUAGCCCAGCAGCUUCCUUUCCUUGGCAAAGGAAACUUUGACUUUGACAACCUCAACAUCAUCGAAACCAAUCCAGGUGGUUCCUACGGUGCAGUAAUUCACUACAAAAGUAGCAUUAUACACUGAAUUGGCGCCAUGACUAUGAAUAUAAUUCCUUAUCUCCUUGUAUGUCAUCUCCCCAGUUUUUGAUAUAGCCGGCCCUGACGCUGGUGCGCCAAUCGUGUUAUCCCUGGGGUUGACUAGUGUCCACGCAUAGCCAUACAAAGGCAAACCCAAAACCAACUUAUUCGCUGGUAGUCCUCCAGUAAUCCAUGAUUCUAUACCGAAAUCUGCAUUGAAAUUACUGGUUGGGUCAUAUAGUGCUGCAUGAGCUCUCGUGAGGUUUUCCCAUGUUGGCAUGUAAAAAUCGAAGGCAUUAACGUGUAACCAGUUCAAGUUCGUCCUCAAUGAGUCUAUUGGAUAAGUAGACGACUGUGAAUAUUGAGAAUAUGGAACUGCAGCCGUUAAUAUCAACUUAGACUGACCCGUCUCUGAAUCUAUUGCAGCUCGCCAUUCUUGGAAGAGAGCAGCCAUAUUGCUCAUAUCGGAGCUUGUGUUGGCUGAAACCCAGCUAAAGUCUAGGCCUUGGAAGCCGUAAAGCCUAGCUGUUUUUAUUGAGGAAUCAAUGAAGGAUUUCCUAUGGGACGAAUUGCUUACCAUUGAAACUAUGACUGAACGGUUUGCACUUCCUCCUCCAAUGGAUAAAAGCGUGGUGACUGAUGGGUUUUUUUGUUUGACCGUGUUUGUGAAAGUAGAGAAGUAUUGGUCAUCAGAAGAAGAAACGGAGAGUUGAUAGGAUGAGGCAUUGAUGUUAGCGAAAGCGCAAAUAAGGUGAGUGAAAAGAGAUGAAUUUAUAUCGGCAAUGGGGAAUUCAGUGCCGGAAUACCAGUAACCAGCUUGAAUCCAGGUUUGUGCUCGUGAUGGAUUGAGUCCUAAAGAGAGAAAAAUAUAGAGAAGUA
rnacentral:lncRNA from 1 species